AUUGAACGCUGGCGGCAGGCCUAACACAUGCAAGUCGAGCGGAGUGGCGGACGGGUGAGUGUUGCUUAGGAAUCUUCCUGGUAGUGGGGGAUAACGUCCGGAAACGGGCGCUGAUACCGCAUACUAUGCCACGAGCCUAGGUCGGAUUAGCUAGUUGGUGGGUUAAAGGCCCACAAGGGCGACGAUCUGUAACUGGUCGGAGAGGAUGAUCAGUCACAUGGGAACUGGGAAACGGUCAAGACCCCUACGGGGGGCAGCAGUGGGGAAUAUUGGACAAUGGGCUAAAGCCUAAUCCACACAGGCCGCGUGUGUGAAGAAGGUCUUCGGAUUGUAAAGCACUUUAAGUGGGGAGGCGUUACCAACAGAAUAAGCACCGGCUAACUUCGUGCCAGCAGCCGCGGUAAUUC
rnacentral:rRNA from 1 species